CGCUUAUUUUGCUCAGGCGGAGCUCGACCGCCGGUUCAAGCCAUGAUCGCCUUCAUCGACGAUCAUCGUCAAGUGCACGGCGUCGAGCCGAUCUGCAGGGUGCUGCCGAUCGCUCCG
rnacentral:ncRNA from 1 species